rnacentral:rRNA from 1 species
AUGAACGCUGGCGGCGUGCCUAAUACCUGCAGGUCGAGCGAACAGACGAGGAGCUUGCUCCUCUGACGUUAGCGGCGGACGGGUGAGUAACACGUGGAUAACCUACCUAUAAGACUGGGAUAACUUCGGGAAACCGGAGCUAAUACCGGAUAAUAUAUUGAACCGCAUGGUUCAAUAGUGAAAGACGGUUUUGCUGUCACUUAUAGAUGGAUCCGCGCCGCAUUAGCUAGUUGGUAAGGUAACGGCUUACCAAGGCGACGAUGCGUAGCCGACCUGAGAGGGUGAUCGGCCACACUGGAACUGAGACACGGUCCAGACUCCUACGGGAGGCAGCAGUAGGGAAUCUUCCGCAAUGGGCGAAAGCCUGACGGAGCAACGCCGCGUGAGUGAUGAAGGUCUUCGGAUCGUAAAACUCUGUUAUUAGGGAAGAACAAAUGUGUAAGUAACUAUGCACGUCUUGACGGUACCUAAUCAGAAAGCCACGGCUAACUACGUG